CAAAAUGCUGGCAACUUCUUGCAGUGUCCAUACGAUUCGAUUGGACUCUGCAGCCUAUACGCAGGGUAGUCUGCCAUGAUAUGCUCUCAAGUCAACGAUGCCCACCGCAUGAAAACUCGUUGCUCUCAAAGCCGAAGGGGAAGGGAGUGCCACGCCGCAUAAUUCUUGCUUUCUCGAUAACCUUAACCCCCAUUUCGCUGGACAAUCUGAUGAACCAGUACUCGUAGCUCGUAAUCACAAGCCCGUAAGCACUAUUUCUACACUGCAAGGCAAAAGAAAAGCAGCCUGACUCCGAAGUGCAGCUCCUCUAUCAUGUACCCUCCACACAGUUCACGGACAGUAAACUAAAAAUGUUCAAAGGCUGCUUGGAGGAAACUUCCCAGUGCCUCCUUUUCCUACUCUCAUACUUCUCAUCUACGAGAGAUGUCGUGGUAUUUGAUUCUCUCAUUCUCCUCAUAUAUUGAUCUCGGUUCUUGAAAAAGAUGAACUAGGUCAGAAAGACUAUGGCUCUUAAUCAGCUGGAGGAACGAGAAGCUGCACG
rnacentral:lncRNA from 1 species